rnacentral:rRNA from 1 species
GAUUAACGCUAGCGGGAUGCCUAAUACUUGCAGAUCGAACGAAGUAUUUAUACUUAGUGGCGAGCGGGUGAGUAACACGUAUCCAACAUACCCAUAAGAGGGGGAUAACUAGUUGAAAAACUAGCUAAUACCCCAUAGCAUAUUUUUACAUAAGUAUUAAUAUUUAAAGUUGCGUUUGCAACACUUUUGGAUUGGGGUGCGACGUAUUAGAUUGUUGGUGAGGUAAUGGCUCACCAAGUCGAUGAUGCGUAGCUGUGCUGAGAGGCAGAACAGCCACAAUGGGACUGAGACACGGCCCAUACUUCUACGGAAGGCAGCAGUAGGGAAUUUUCCACAAUGGGCGAAAGCCUGAUGGAGCAAUCCCGCGUGAACGAUGAAGGUCCUACAAGAUUGUAAAGUUCUUUUAUUGGGGAAGAAAUGUAAGAAAAGGAAAUGUUUUUUAUUUGACGGUACCCUUUGAAUAAGUAUCGGCUAACUAUGUGCCAGCAGCCGCGGUAAUACAUAGGAUGCAAGCGUUAUCCGGAUUUACUGGGCGUAAAGCGAGCGCAGGCGGAUUUACAAGUCUGAUGUUAAAGACAACUGCUUAACGGUUGUUUGCAUUGGAAACUGUAAGUCUAGAGUAUAGUAGAGAGUUUUUGGAACUCCAUGUGGAGCGGUGGAAUGCGUAGAUAUAUGGAAGAACACCAGAGGCGAAGGCGAAAACUUAGGCUAUAACUGACGCUUAGGCUCGAAAGUGUGGGGAGCAAAUAGG